rnacentral:ncRNA from 2 species
ACGGAAGAUCCUGGGAGCCUUGUUUUGGAGGCUGAGAGUGAUGUAUAUCAGACCAGUAACCUGAUCAGCGUAAUGGCUGCGUAGGAAGUAUCUUAUAUAUUAUGG